rnacentral:lncRNA from 1 species
UCUCUCUCUCUCCUUACACGGAACUAUAUAGAGGGGAGUGAAAGAGAUACAAACGAGGCAAGGUAAAAAUACUAAAAAGCCCCUCACCUACUCUGGUGUACCGGUACACGGGAUCGCGUACCGGUACAGGAAGCUAACCCGAGAGCAGUACGCGCUCAGCCAGUAUAGCGUACCGGUACACCUCGCUGGCUAUACCGGUACAGCCAGCAGGAAAAUCUGCUAUUUCGCAGAUUUCUUCGCUGAAGGCUGCUCUCGCGUCCGACGGAGUCCGUUUUGCGUCUAUUUGAUGCCAACGCGACUCGGGCUUGUCCCGACACUCUCCAGAGCUGUCGACAAGCCCCCACAGCCAGACACCAGGGAUCUCACAGUAUAGGGGGCCGAGAAUUCAUGUUUUAUACCGUUUGAAACACAGAAAUCAACAAAUUUAGAAUUUAUGAAUUCUCCCCCUUGAUCGCUUCGAAUGCGUAUAAUUUUAUCAUUUCGUUCAGUCAUAAGACGGAGACAGAUUUCAGAAAAAGAAUUAAAAGUAUCAGCUUUUUCUCGUAAGAAAGCACUCCAUACAUAGCGAGUAAAAUCAUCAACAAUAAGCAGAAUAUAACGUUUUCCACCCAAACUUUGAAUCCUAGAUGGUCCCAUCAAGUCCAUGUGAAGUAACUCUAGAGGUUUAGUUGUCCCUAAGUGGUUCAAGUUCUUAUGUGUGGAUCUAGUUUGUUUCCCUAAUUGGCAACCCCCACACACAGUGUUCUCUUUAUAGUCAAUCUUAGGUACACCUCUAACUACCUCCUUCUUGGUGAUCUUAGAUAGCUCCUUAAAAUUGAUGUGACCUAGUCGUUCAUGCCAUAAAGUUUCAGUUUCUAAUGACGCUAGGUUACAAUGUUCAGUGGCCGAACUAGGAACUACAUAACAAUUAUUCUGAGAUCUAAUGCCCUUUAAGAAUAAAUUGUCAUCACGAGUCACAUGGCAUUCUUUAUCAGAAAAGUUCACCGAAUACCCAUCAUCACACAAUUGACUUAUGCUUACGAGAUUAGAUUUAAGCCCUUCAACAUAAAAAACAUCAUUCAACGUAGGACCGUCUGAGAUAGUCACUGUUCCUUUUCCAACGAUUUUUGACGAUCGACCGUCUCCAAAAACAACAAGUCCUCCGGAGAUUUUGGUCAAAGAAGUAAACCAAUUUUUAUCUCCGGUCAUGUGACGGGAACAGCCACUAUCCAGAUACCAAGAUGAGUUAUCGUAAGCAUGAAGUGAAGUGUGAAUGACUAGGCAUGGGAAGAGUUCACCUUUGCGCACCCAAACCUUACGUGUUUUGGGUUGUGUCCGUUCGCUUGCUUUUGUUGAUCGUGGCUUGUCGACGAUUUGAAUUGACUUCCCCUUCAUGUCCUCCUUCUUUGGUUUCCAUGCUUGUUUUGCCUUUGGCUUUGGAAUAUUUGGUGUCCGAAUUUGGCUCUUCUUUUGUUCUAUUUUCUUUGGAGUCACAAUUGACUUCAAUGUCGUUCUAGGGUCACUCUUCAAGAGAGCUAUUGAGCUCUUUCCCUUUUGAAAGCAGACUUUCUUUAUGUGUCCUAAAACACCACAAAUAUGACAAGUUUUGUUAGUCAAAUUGUGUUUAGGAGAGACAAACUUACCAUAAAGUUUAGGUACAGCAGUCGACGAGUUUCCAUCAUCCUUCUUCAUAACUUGAUCAAUAUAUGUCCGUUCAUAACCAAGUCCAAGUUUAUUGGUUUGACCAAGUCCAAGCAUCUUGUCUAGUUUGCUCGAGCCAGAUGAAAAUUGGUUCAAAUCUGACUUCAGUUGAAUGAUCGUCUUGGUGAAUUCCAUAUUUGCUUCUCUAGCUUCUGAGUUUUGCUUGGUAAGAAAAUUGAUGUUCUCCGCUUGAGUCUCCUUUUCUUUUUCAAGUAACGAACACUUCUCAAGCAAAGAAUUGUAAGCCUUGGUCAACCCAUCUCUCUCUUGUUCUAAAUCCUUUGUUAGAGAGACCAACUUUGAAUUUUCUUGUUCCAACUCAUGUAGACUACGCCGAAGUCUCUUGUUGUGUUUAGCCAUCUUCUUUGAUUCAACAACUAAUUGUUGAUAUGCUGCGACCAUGUCAUCUUCGUCUGAGUCUUCAUCCGAUGAGUUCUCCGAAGAUGACUUCUCUUGUAUAGAUGUCGUAGAAAUCGAGUCAGUAGAUGCUAGACACAUGAACGUUGAAUCCUGUGCAAACAGUGCCGUGGCAUUUACAUCCUCUUCGCUUGAAGUAGAAUCGUCAGAUGAGGAGUCGUCCCAAGUCAUAGCUUGCAUAGCUUUCUUCUUCAACGUCUUUUUAUUAGGACAGUCAGACGCUAUAUGGCCAAAGCCCCUACACUUGUAGCAUUGGAUUUGACCUUCACCGCUUUUCCUCUCUUUUGUGGAGUCCUUUUGAGAGUUAUCAGAUUUUCUGUAUUUUGACGAAGAAGAAGAAGACGGACCCCCUUUAGAUUUGUUUGUCUUUGAUGAAGUAGACUUGGGAGGAAACUUCUUUCUAAAGUUCCGACGGAACUUCUUUGUUAGAAGUGCGAGUUGUUUCUCAAAGUCCUCCAAGCUUUGCUCCGACUCUGAAUCUGAUGAGGUUGACGAGAUAUCUCCUUUUGUUGAUUUUAGAGCCAUGCCUGAGGCUUUAGAAAAAGACUUGGAAGAAGACGAAUUAGAAGGAAAAGUCAUUUCAUACGUUUGAAGAGCACCAACUAAUUCAUCUACUUUGAGUUCAUCCGGAUGUUUUACCGUUUUAAUGGCCGCAACCUUGGGACAAAAACGUUCGGGAAGAGUUCUCAAAAUUUUUCGAACGAUUUUUGGUUCAGAAAUUUUUUCACCCAAAUUUGCACAAGUAUUAACAAUAUCUUGAAGACGAGUGUAAUACUCGGUAAAGGUUUCAUUUUCUUCCAUACGAAUAGAAUCAAAACGACUAGUCAACAUUUGUAAUUUCUGAACCUUUACCAAGCUUGUACCCUCGUGAGUGAUUUAUAAGGUGUCCCAAAUUUCUUUGGCGGUUUCACAUGCCGAUACUCGUGAAAAUUCACUUUGAUUCAACGCAUUGAACAAAGCAUUGAUACCCUUCCCAUUGAACGAAGAUAGUUCAUUUUCGUCUUUUGUCCACUUAUUUCUAGGUUUCGGACCGGUAACAUUCUCGACCACUUCAGUAGGAUGUUUCCAUCCGAAUUCAACGGCUUGCCAAACCCUCUCGUCGAUAGCAAUAAGAAACGCCCUCAUACGGACUUUCCAAUACGCGUAGUUAGUGCCAUCGAAGAGAGGGGGUCGAUUAACGUUGCCGCCCUCGGCCAUAGAUUACAACCUAUACCCGCUCUGAUACCACUUGUAAGAUAUGAAUCCCUAGGAUCUAAAAGGUAAAAGACACCUAGAGGGGGGUGAAUAGGUGUAAACGGCAACAAUCUCGAAACUCGAUGCAAAUUUAAAAUAGAAUGCGGAAAAAUAAAAUCAGCACACCGAGAAUUAACGUGGGAAAACUCCAAACCGGAGAGAAAAACCCACGGGACCAACCACACAAAGAAAUCCACUAAGAAAACAUGAGUACAAGUGAUUUAUCAAAAAUACAAGACUCGAAAUACCGAAUUCUCGUUGUAGAAUAUCUUUGCCAGUCCUCGAUCGCUUGAAAUCCUCCAACCGAUCACACUGCAACCUAGCAGCGUCAACUGCUCAUCCCUCGAAGCGUCCACCGAAUCGCUCGCUUCACCGAGAUGCAGUGCCGACCUCCUCCGGCUUGUAGAAUUGAAGAUUUGUGGUGAUUUAACUUUUGAAAAUAAGGCUAUGAGAGGUUACUUUAAAUAAUACAUACUACUUGAUUUGUAGGAAGUACCGAGUAAAAACGAAGAAUAACGAUGUUGAUUGCUUUGAACUCAUUCAUGGUAAAUGAGAGCAUUGAAAGAGAGAGGAGAGUGUGUUAGGUUUGGAAUUUGGUAAAAUAUUCAAAGCCUCAAUUUGAGACGACGGCCACAUAGCUUAUUGAAUGUUAGAAGACUUAGAAGUAGAAUGGAUGCAAAAGUCGAUUUUAAAAACCUUGUGUCGUCCUCAGAGACGGGUGCGCUGUCGAGGAGACCGGUCUGUCGAGAGAACCGGUCUCUCAAGUGAGGAACGGUCUCCUGCGGUUGAGCCAAAAAACCAACUUCAGGAACGCCGGUCUCUCAAACUUGGACCGAUCCCUCGUCGGCGCACGAAGAUCACCAAGGUUCGGGAACCGGUCUCUCAUCACAGGGGACCGGUUGCAUCAAGGUUUACGCAGUGAGGACCUUGGGAGAACCGGUCUCUCCAUUUCAGAGACCGGUCCCAGAACACAAGAAAGUUCAGAAAAUUUGUUUAAAAACAAUCUAAGCCUUCUGAACUUAUUUUAAUCAUGUAUCUUCACCACAAAUGAUCUUUUCUACAUACCUUAGGUGUCGAUCUUUCCGAAUGAGUCUUUGUCCUCCAAUUUGAAUCUUUUCUCAAAAACUUCUGCGAUCAACUCUUCCAGACUCCAAACAACUUUACGAAAUUCGCCAACCUAUAAAAUCCUUAACAUCUUUUUCUCGAUGUUUUUCAGAGCCUUCCGCGCAUGGGGAGGCCAGGGAUCGCGGAAAGGGUACCGCCUCGGGCUAGCGUGCUCGCCGAGGGAUCGUUCGAUACUCUCAUUUUUUUUUUCUUUUUGUGAGAGGUUGAGAGUUUCACCAUUGUACUAGAGACCACCAUUUUUGUACCUUUGAGACUUUUAUUGUACUACUUUAUGGUUUACUUUUAUCGUUUAGUUGUAUCCUUUUUCUUUUGUUAUAGAAAGUAGAAUCAUACUGCUCUGAUAUCAUUAGUUGUUGCUCUUUCCUUUCGGCUAUGUUUCUUGCUUUACUUCCGCUUUUAUUGUAGACGCCUUAUAUGUGCAGACAUAUGGCGGGUCUGGGCGCGCUACCGGGAGGGCCUCUGCCGGUCCCGGGGCGUGACACCGACGCCCGCGCCCGCCCGUGCUGCCACGUGGGCGCGACCCACACCCAGCGCCCGUGCGGCCCAGGAGAGUGGGGAGAGGGAGAGAGGGGAGGAGAGAGAGAGAGAGAGAGCCGGGGGGGUGCGCGCGACCAGCGCCUCGCGCACCCGCGAGAGGGAGAGAGAGAGAGGGAGCCUGGGACUGGUGUGGGGAGAGAGAGAGAAAGAGAGAGCCAGGAAAAAAAGGGGGGGUGGAGAGAGAGAGAGAGAAAAAGGGAGCCGGAGAGAGGGCAAAAGGGAAAGAGAGAGGGAGCCGGAGAGAGAGAGAGAGAGGAGGGUCCCACCGAAGCCCUCGCCUAACACGGGGAGGCUUCGGAGAACUCAGGAUUCAAUAUAUGUAUAGAUCCUCUCCAUCCUGUAUGUAUGAAAGAGAGAAAGGGAAAAGAAGAGAAGGAGAAGAAGAAAAAUAGAAGUUAGAAUCUUCAACUACUCGACGACCCGAUCAAGAUCGCGCACGUAAAAUUUCUUUGAUUUUUCAACUGUGAGGGUAUUAUGAUGAUGGGAGGUUUCAAAAUCAGUUUUUUCAUAGGGAUUUGAUCACAGCGGUUAUAGGGGAUGAGUUUUUGUUGGAUUUUGUGAAAAUCAAGUUUCUACAACUGAUUUCAAAGCAUUUAGGUGCCGAUUCCGCGUGACUUUCGUAGAGAAAAGUUUUAUGCAGUUUCGGAGUGCGUUGGCUGUUGUGAAAUCUGCAGGAUAGCAGCAGCAUGCGCAAAUAGCAAUAGUAUGCGCAAAUAGGAGCAGCAACAUCCUGUAGUUGCAAGUUGCAGCAGCUGGCAGCAGCAAAACUGCAGCAGUAGUGGGGGAGCUUGAUCAAACGUAAUUGGAGCCUCCAGCAGUGAAAUUGAUGCUUAAAUUGUGAAAUUGAGGUUUGUUUAUUAAAGAGGGGAGUAGUGGAGAUCAGCCCACACCUAAUACCUGCUGGGAAUUUGAGGUAAGUUGGUUGGAAUAUUUAAAUUUAGAGUUUGAGCCGUAUUAAAAGUGAUGUUGGAGUUUCGUUGAUUCUUUUGAUCCGAUUUGUGAAACUAAAAUUGUAGGUGCCAAAUUGAGCUCCUGUUGGUAUUCUAGUAAGGGAGAGGAACUUGUGGACUUGUUUCUUCAACCAAAUUUUAGGUUAGUUUCUUUAAGCUUUUGAGCUGAAUUGUGGAGAAUAAUGAAGUUCGCUGAUUUUUUUUCGGAUCCGAUUCUUCUACCUAACAAAUUGCAGAAUCCUUGCUCGCUCCUACUUCAAUUCUAGCUGGUUGGGAGCUGUCCCUAGCUGAACUUAAAGCUUAGUAAAGCUUAAUUUAAUGAAAAUCUAAAAUUUUAGCCGAAAGGGAUUUCUUUUAAGUAACUUUUUUGGACUUCAACCGACCUAGCAGGUUUGAAACUAGGUUGCCGGAUUUUCUGAGUCACUACUAGUUCCUUGAGCUGAGGGGAGUGAUCUCGAGUUGGUGGAAUUCUUGUCUUGGUAGGAUUAGCUAUCGAGGUGGGUUCCGUGUCGCCGAAAACAGCGAAUUUCCUUCUAUGUCUAUUUGUAUGCAUAUGUAUAUUCAUAUGUUUAUAUAUGCUGGUAGAGUGUAGUAAUGGCAUAGAAGUGAAUAGAAAGCCUGGAUAACAUGAUGUAUUCUUGAGGAUACUAAUUUAAGCUAGAUUGUAUGACCAAUAGGCUAAAUGGCUUUUCACAAUGAAUUCCUUCUCACGUAAUAAGUUACAUACACUAGUGUAGGCUGAGAGGGGUCGUUGAUAUUACAUGCAUUAUGUUUGAUAUAUAAUUGAUGAUUUUAGUUCUUUUGAUAUUAUCAAGUUUCUUUUGUUAAUAUACUAUAUAUGAGGUAAUGCCAAAAGGGUCCAUUAGACAUUGACAUAUAUAUAUAUCGAUUAUUGCUCUCUAUAUCCUAAGAUUGUGAUAAAGGCCGUGGAUUAGCGUCGUAGUAAUGGGCAAUGUUUUUGAGAUAUUAGGACAUAUAUGAGUAUGCCAUUGUGAUUAGUGAGUUGAUAGGCUCUAUGAUCGUGCCGAUGGCACAUGGAUCGAUAUUAGUGAUCUUUUUGAUCAUCGCAUAGACCAUAGCCUGCAGCCCUAUAUUGAGCUUGACAGUGAUACGUGCUAUGAUACUCGGUACGGGUCCCUCCCCUCGAGUGCCGCUCUGGAUGCUGGCUAGUGAUAGCAAAGACAGUAGCCUAGGUGUUGCCGUCACACCUACGGGAGUGUGUCCAUGCACUAGGCAGGCGCAGGCUUGACCGAACCUAUGAGUCCGUCGUUGCGAUUGGGUACUAUUACAGCAUUUGUUUAUUAAUAUUAGCAUUGAUGCAUGCUUUAGUUUCCUUCUUUCCUUUACAUGUAUAGAGGCAUGAUAGUUCAAUAGUUAUAUAUCUGUUCAUUUUGUGCUCAGUUAAUCAUUUUCUAGCACACUUUAUUGUUCUUUUAUCAAUCUUGCCUCUAGUAGACCUAGUAGGAAGGUCGUGGUUGUCGUCGACCGUAUCCACUAGGAACUGGUGUUUAGUAGUUUUCACGCCCUUUUCUGGUUUUCUUUUCAGAAACAGCUGCACCUUCUGUUAAUCGAGAUAAGAGAAUCGUGCCUAGAUAGCACUUCCUACCAGUGUACUUGAGCGAUAGAAGGACCACCAGCUAGAUGUUUUAGUUUAUAGUAUACAUCAAAACUGGCGAUGGCCAGAGCUUUUUAUUUGUACAUUUAUCUUUCUGGUCGGCUGAGACUACAUGAUGUUGUACAGUGAUGUAUAGUAGUUUUGUUUAUAGUGCUCUGAUCCAUGUAGUUCGUUUAUUUAGUGACCUUCUUAUUGUUCUUGUGAUUUGGAAAAACUUUCUGUUGUGAUCUCUAGAAUUAUUUUGCUAGUAUUAUGUUACGUUGGUGCUUUGUCCGGACAAGGAAAACUUUGUCCGUUUGGCGGGUCUGUUCACAUCCCUGUGGGCCUCCGCUGUGGAAUUGGGGCGUGACACGAACACAGUUACACCCUCUGGUAGCAUGACCGAGAUUGCAUGACCUAUCACACCUCUCAGUUGUGCAAGGCACUGCUACUGGGCUGGUAGGUGACCAAGCCCAAACAGAACAUCAACCAUAUGCAGUGCUCAAAGAUCAACUGCACAAGUACCACAUGGGAACUACCCAGGCCACACCACUAGUCGAAGAUGACCACAACUCAAGCCUUUCCACACGACAACCUAUAAAGAUUAUCUCGCAGAAAAUACAAUCCUAAUACUCCCAAGAAGGAUAGUGCACUUCGUCCAAACUUUCAACACUACAUCUGCAGCCAACGUACUCAUAAAAAAAAGGCGAAUUACCCGUGGAUCCAUCGCCAACAACAAGUUGGAGAAGUGACACGAGAACCAAACCAACCGUUACAUCUAUAUCGCACCAGAGUGCACCGAAACACCAUCAAAACCUCGACUUUGCAAGCUGAUUUUCGAAGCUAGACUAGCCUUUGAGCCUACUCCCUAGGAGUCCUACGGCUCACCACAACAGUAGACGAUAGCCCGCGACAUAAAGUCGCCACACGCACAAGCCAAUGCGAUUAAAAUAAGAUUCCCAAACUUCACCUAACCAGCUGCUAACCCUCCGAGAUCCUCAAGUAACCCUAUAGAGUAGCUCGUGACAUGCCAAAAGCCCACCGAUCCCACAACACAUCAAUCAAGGUGUUAGGGUAGCCGCACAUGAUUUGUGCACCACAAGGACCCGCACCAAAACCCCGUCCCAAAGCAUUCUCAAAACACGCCUACCAGACAUGUGAAUCGGCAAAUAGUCAAAGCACCUGCACUGAUAAUUCAGAAAGUGACAACCUCACCGUACAAUCCACGUGCACAACUUGACUAGGACAUAAUUAACGAGUCAGGCGAACCCACUCAAAAAUACUAGCGCUGACCAUACCGUCCCGCAUGAGACUAUACUAAGUCCUACCAUAACCUGGAUCCGUCUCCCAACCCUAAUAUCGGGAGUAAUGCCACCGAAGCUAGGCGGAACAAAUCUCACCAACUCGUAGCAUCUGCUCCAAAACUGGGUUCGCUCCUCCCUCCGUGACACUAUGCCACCAAUAAAGAAUAGGGGGAUGGGGUAGGCGUCAUAGCCCUAUUCAACAAGCCUGGGAAGAGCAUUACCCAUAUCGCAGCCACACAAGCGGCUGGUAACGAAGCCUAGGGCUACACUUUAGCAGCUCUCACAGUAGCAGCAGUCGAAACUGCUCUAAACACCGUCUCUACGAAGAUGCUCACAGUAGCACUCGUGCUCUAUGUAGGGCGUGUGGCUUGGACACCAGCAGCCGAGAUGAUCGUCUAGGCCCAAAAAGUAAUAUCACCUGGCCCCUCAAGACCUCAUCUGACGGGAGUGGCUCCACCCGGUGAACAUCACCCCACCACUAGAUGUCUUUAUUGGUACACCGCCACCAGUUCCAGCUAAGACACAAGUCUGUGCGGAAAUCAUAACACACACGGAAUAAAAACCAUUCACCUCGAGACUAAUAAAGCUCGACCAGAACAUCGGAACUCAAUCCCAAUAAUCCCGUACUAGCGCACCUAUACAUCUUAGAUCUUCCUAUGGGUCAACCUAACCAGUGGUUCAAUUAAACAUCUGUGCGUGAAUGUGUAGUUGCAGCUUUGCUCUGAUACCAUCUUAAUCUGUCACGUCCCGGGGCCUCUUUUGUAAAGCUUUUUUUAAAGAAAAGUCCAGUUCGAAAGUAAAGCUAGCGAAAAAUGUCUCUAUUUUUUUUUUUUUGAAAUACAACUUGCCAUUGGAUAGAACAGACCCGCCACAAAUACAGGUUUUUUCUUGUCCGUCCAGACAGAAUCUUCCUUGUAUUUUCACGGCGUACCACUACACAAGUUGUUGCAACACUAACAUUCAAUCACACAAACAACAUUCAUAAUGCAGAUGCUUACGAUAAUCAAUCAAUUAGCAAUCCUUGCGAUGGUGCAUGCUCUAAGCACUCCGUAGGCGAAGGAUGGUGCAAAUGCACAUUACAACAAUCAACUCUAUCAUUUACAAAUGUUUUCCGCCCGGAAACUAUAUUUUGAAAUACUAAGAAUCGAUAAAAUCGUAAAAUCAUUUGAAAACUGUCUCCCACACGAAAACACAUUUUUCGAAAACACCGACUACCUCGAGGGGUAGAAAACCACGUACGAUAAAACCGAAAUAAUAUAUCACCAGGAAUCCCAAAAGAAUUACUACUUCAAAUACUUGUAAUUAAAAGAUCAUCCACAACAUAGACUAUUCAUGGAUUGACAAUCAAGCACACAGAUAACUGAAUCACAAUUUCUAAUUUAUUAACCAUAAAUGAAAUGGGUCAAAUCGAGAAAACCAUAACCAAUAUAGAUAUGUUGGGACCUCUAGAGCUCGCUAUCUAUCGCAUCUCAUGCACCGUCCCGACUCCUACUAUCGAGAUCACCUAAAAGAGAGGGGUGAGAAACCAAUAAGGGUCUCCCAAUGGGUACUUCAAGCCAACGAGGGCGAGUAUACUCACAGGCGAGAGAAAAACAAUUGAGAUAGAUAGGUAAUCAUGUACAAUUCAAUAAAGAAACACAGAUAAGAACAACAAUAAGCACCUACCGCUAUUGUAAACAAUAGACAUAUGCAUCAACUAUAAAAGAACUGGUAUCCAAACACCUCGCCAUAUAGGUCUAAAGACCGCAGGUAGUGUCGCAGUAUACUCAUCCACCUGACACAAAACCCUAGCUAGCACCUUGCAUGGGCCCACGGGUCGCAGAGACGGCGAUUUUUUCGGGAAAGAACGCCUACGCAAUGGCCAAACCGCUGGUGUACGUGAUGUGCUACAUGAGCCGUGAUGAUCGAUGCGAAAUGCUCAGUAGUCAAUUAAGGCCGCAUAUAGCCAAGAGUAAAUACCAACAUCUAUCCAAACUAGAUCAUCGGAUCGGCGAGCCAAUCAGCAACGAACAAUCAGGUCUCUCAGAUAAAGAUCAUGCGAUAAAUCCAACACCUAUCUACUACAAAUAUGUGAACGAGCAGAAGUAGAGCAGAAAAACUAGAAAUCUACUGGUAAAUGCUCAUCAAUAGUAUGAAAAAUAAUGAAAAAGAGUGAGGGAAGAGUAUCACCGAGCUAGAACUACUGUACCGACUCCAGAUCGAAGCACCUACCUGAAAUCGAAACACCGUCUAUGUAACAUACCGAAUCCCCAAUAAGUUGUACCGAACUUCAGUCAAAUUGACCGAAGUGUGGUGAUGGACGACUUAGUGAGGUUCGUUAAUCAUUUCGAGUGUUUCAGGAGACAUUAGAAUAGUUGUUGGGACCUUGGAGAGCAAGCUAGGAAAUUCCAAGCAAUGUUGUGCUGGAAAUGCUCUCGGGGUCCGGACCCUGAGUGCAAGGUCCGGACCUCAUACGCGUGAAAGGUCAGAGUUGGUCAAACUCUGUUAUUUGAGGGGGCUUGGUGUAAAUGUGCAAGUGGGAAACCUUAUAUGAGGUUGCUAUGUGGUUCUCCCUUUCAUUUCCCUCACACCACCAAUCUAAGAGAAAAGUUCUCUCUCUCUAGAAGCUUCUCUCACUCUCCUCUCUCUCUCCCUUUCCCUCUUUCUCUCUAGGGUUUGCUCCAAGAGUGGAGUUUGGUUGUGACGCACUGGACCUUUGCAAAUUGCGAGGUUCGAGUGUUUGAUCUGUGUGACGAGCCAUCUCAGACUUUCUGAAGGGUCGUAGACAGUGUUCCGACCCAUGGUUCGAGUCCCGAGAAUUGUGGUUUGAAACAGUGUACCAAAACCCGAAAAAUCAGAUUUUGGUUAGCUCUCGGGUUGCCUUCUGAGGGCUGUGUACCGGUACGGGAGUGAUGGCUGUACCGGUACAGCCAUCGACUUUGGCCGCUUCUCAGCCAACCCGAGGCUCGGGCUGGGCAUUUCCGUAGAGGGUGUACCGGUACGCGGGCCCGUGUACCGGUACGCAGUGCAGUGUUUGAACUGUUCGAAACUGCAGGGGGUUUUUCGCAUUUGUGGACUUUUAUAUGUGUCCCCACGCCCCAUGGAGCUCUCCCUGAGCUGGAAACCGUGGAGAAGCAAGGUAGGGAGAACCUCUUCUCCUCCCUUUGGUUUUGAUCACCUUUUUGCUUGGGUUUUGAUGGUUUUUCCCUCUCUUUUGCAUUUUGGAGCUAUUUCCACCAUUGUUGAAGCUUGGAGCUUAGGUUUGGAGCUUGAUUGAGGGAUUAUUCUUGAAGUUUGAGAACUUUGAGCUUGGUUUGAAGCUUCUAAGAGGUAAGAGACAAGAUCCUUUCCUCUAGAUUUAGUUUUUGUUGGAUUUUACUAGAUCAAACCCUAGAUUUUGGAUUUUAGGGUUAAAUUUGGGGAUUUUCGUUUUGAGGGCUUUUGUAUCAAAUUGAUGGGUUUAGAACCUUUGUUUAGGUUAGAUUGGAAGGACUCUAGCUCCCAUUUGGAGAUUGUGAGAGCUUCCUUCGCAAUCGGUGAGUUUUCGUCUACCCUAGCCCUAUAUGCUUAAUGAUUGAGCUUAGCGUCGUUUGUUUUGACUAGAUGACACUUGUUCUUGUACCUCUAAGGUACUAGGAGACUAGAGGACACCCUCGUUGGAGCGCACGAGGAGUUUCGUUGUCAUCGGUGGGUUUGGCUUCCUUGAAAUCGGAGGAAAUUCCUCCUAAGUGGUUAUAUGCUUUCAUUCUCUUCGAAUUCAUGCAUAUUCAUGUUUAGUAGCAUUUAUGGGAGUUUUGAAUGCUUAGAACUCAUAUGUUAUGCAUCAUGAAAGUUACUCUAUAUAGUAGAGAGGCAAGUGAGCUUUGUUAAUAUGCAUGCGACGAAUACUCUAUGAGAUGAUAGGAAAUAAAGUUUCAUUCUUCGAUUUUGACUAGAAAUUAUAAGUUCUUGAACUUAUUAUCCAUGUUGGGACAAAAUGAGCCAUAGUGUCAUAAAGAGGCACUUGGACUAGAGAAUUAUUAAACUGCAACAUAGAGACUUGAUAAUAGGCCACAUUGACAUCAACUAUAUUCCAUAUUUGAGAUAUGAUGAAAUAGUGACUUGGCCACGAGGACAUUUGCUAUAUACCAUGUUACUGAACAUGAGAAUUUGGUACUUGCGAUUGAUCGUUUGAUUACUUGCCAUUGUGCUCAUUCGCACAUGCUUGUGAGGGUCGCUCCCUACAAGCCGGCACUCCGGAGAUGGCCAUCGCGAUACAUAUUCGCCGUGCGGGAUUGGGCGCCGAAGUGGAUUGCCCUGGGCCAGGCUCACUCCUAGGGUGGGGGUGUUGACUACCACGGGGCCAUUAGGCUCGGCACCGGCCAGACAGCCUACGGGUGGGUCUCAGGGCCAUAGACAGCCUUCGGGUGGGUCUCUUCAGAUUUGACUUGAGUAUUCAUCAUGACAUGUGGACAGAUGAUGACUUAGAGUAUUAUUUGGACAUUGACUAGAAUAGUAAACAACGGAACUUUACUAUUUCGCAUUGUGAACAUUAUGAUAGUUGGAGACUUUUACUUCAUGCAUAGUUGUUUCAUACUUAUGCUAUUUAUGCUAAGUAGAGAUAUCAUGUUGUAUUAAGUUACAUUUUUACUUGCCUUUCAUUUUCCUACAGUUAUAGUCACUGACAUCUAUUGUAGCUUUGGGCCUUGUGGUGCAUUCACUGAAGUCAGUAAUUGCCCACUGGGAACUAUUCUUAAUAGUUCUCAUGCCCCUGUUUCUAUGUUUCCUUUUCAGAGCCUUCGGCACCGGCGGAGGCACGGGAUCGCGGCAAGGGGAUCGCGUAGCUAGCUAGCGAGGAGCGGUACUUUGCCUAGGUGGUUUACUCUUUCCUUUGUAGUUUAGAGAGAGAGAGAUUUUUGUAUUCCUGUAUAGAGACCACCUAUGUAUCUACCUUUAGCACUUGUUAUGGGAUUCCUAUUGUAUUUACUUUAUGUUUUACUUAGUGGAUUUACAGUUUUAUCCUUAUUCCUUGUUGUAGCAUUUAGACAUUUAUUAUGCUCUGAUACUCCUAGAUGUCUCUUAUUACUGCUUUUAUUAUUGUUAUUUUUAGACGCCUUAUAUGUUGUAGGGCACGCGCCGGGCGGGCUUCCGCUGGGUCCCGGGGCGUGACACCGGUCCUGCGCUGGGAGAGACCAGUUCCCGAACGCUGGUUUUUCGGGUUCGCAGCGAGAGACCGGUCCCAGCUGGGGAGAGACCGGUCCCUCUGGGCGAAAACUACCCAGUCCGGGCUGUUGCAAUUUUGGAUUUUUGAGGGGCCUGGUUGGAUUUUGUUAUAUUAGAGGGUCUAUAUGACCCCUCCACCCUCUCUCUUUCUCAUUUCUCUCCUCACACUCCCUCCAUACCCUUGUUAGAGAGAGAAGAAGGAGGAGAAGAAGAAGGAGAAGGAGGGAAGAAGAAGAAGAUUUGGAGCUACUAGUGGACUUGGAGCAUCUUCCUCACCCUCUCAUCUUCCUUGGUGCUUGAAGGCUUGGACUUGGAGCUUGCAAAGGGGAAGAUCUUCAUCCUUUGAGCUUGGAUUGGCGCUUCUUAGAGGUUGGUAGCCCUUUCUCUCCAUCUAGACCUUGGAUUUGAGNAAUUAUUAAACUGCAACAUAGAGACUUGAUAAUAGGCCACAUUGACAUCAACUAUAUUCCAUAUUUGAGAUAUGAUGAAAUAGUGACUUGGCCACGAGGACAUUUGCUAUAUACCAUGUUACUGAACAUGAGAAUUUGGUACUUGCGAUUGAUCGUUUGAUUACUUGCCAUUGUGCUCAUUCGCACAUGCUUGUGAGGGUCGCUCCCUACAAGCCGGCACUCCGGAGAUGGCCAUCGCGAUACAUAUUCGCCGUGCGGGAUUGGGCGCCGAAGUGGAUUGCCGUGGGCCAGGCUCACUCCUAGGGUGGGGGUGUUGACUACCACGGGGCCAUUAGGCUCGGCACCGGCCAAACAGCCUUCGGGUGGGUCUCAGGGCCAUAGACAGCCUUCGGGUGGGUCUCUUCAGAUUUGACUUGAGCAUUCAUCAUGACAUGUGGACAGAUUCUGACUUAGAGUAUUACUUGGACUUUGACUAGAAUAGUAAACAACGGAACUUUACUAUUUCGCAUUGUGAACAUUGUAAUAGUUGGAGACUUUCACUUCAUGCAUAGUUGCUUCAUACUUAUGCUAUUUAUGCUAAGUAGAGAUAUCAUGUUGUAGUAAGUUACAUUUUUACUUGCCUUUCAUUUUCCUACAUUUAUCGUCACUGACAUCUAUUGUAGCUUUGGGCCUUGUGGUGCAUUCACUGAAGUCAGUAAUUGCCCACUGGGAACUAUUCUUAAUAGUUCUCACGCCCCUGUUUCUAUGUUUCCUUUUCAGAGCCUUCGGCGCCGGCGGAGGCACGGGAUCGCGGCAAGGGUGUCGCGUAGCUAGCUCGCGGAGAGUUUCUUUGCCUAGGUGGUUUACUUCUCCGUUUUAUAUUUUGAGAAGCGUGAGGCUUUUGUACCCUGUAUAGAGAGACCACCUUGUACUCCUUUUAGCACUUGUUAUGGGAUUCCUAUUGUACUUACUUUAUGUCUUAUUUAGUGAAUUUACAGUUUUAUCCUUAUUCCUUGUUGUAGCAUUUAGACAUUUAUUAUGCUCUGAUACUCAUAGGUAGUCUGAUAUGCUUGAGGGUGGUCGCUCCACCUUAAGCGGUGCUCUCUGGAGUGGUCACCAACUGGGUUGUAGCGGAAUUCUCCCCAGCAGACGGUCCUGUCGGGUUGUAGUGGAUUCGAUAGAAUGGGAUUUGGUUUGGUGAGUUGGGGUUAACCAUGAGUUAACCAAGAUGAUUGGGUAAAAGCCAAGGUAAAUAUGAGAGACAUGCAUCAUGAGCAUAUUAAUUGUUGUUCAGUUCUUGUACAGGCAUUGUAGUAGCAUAGUAUGGUUUGUUAUCUAUCUCUUCUUUUCCUACAUAUGCCUGAGUAGACCUAGUGGGUGAGUCGGCGGGGUCGGCAGCCGAACCCACUGGGAACUUUCAUUAGUUCUCACACCACUAACCUUGCAGAUCCUAGCAUGAGCGGGGCGGUCGAGGAUCGCGGCAAGGACAUCGCGCCCUAGGUAGAGGCUUCUCGAGUAUAGUUGUACUCUAUUUGCUUCAUCUUUUGUAUUUGAUGAAAAAUGUGAUGAAAUGGAUAUGUAUAAAUGAUGUAAAUGAUAUAUGUUUUGUUGAAGGACAUGUGAUGUAUCUAGAAAAAAAAAAGAAUGUAAAUACGUGGAACGCUUGUAUUUGGUUAAAUGUAAUCAAGAUACAUGUAUGAAUGGAAUAGUAGUAGUACUUUUACUAGCUUGUGGUUGCUUGCCCUCGUGCAAGCUAUGUAUACUCGAAUUUUAUCCUUGUUUGAAUUGCUAUACAUGUUGUGUGGAGCCUUGGGCGGACAAGGGAGGUUCUGUCCGUUCGGCGUCUGUUGACGUGCCCGAACGGACCAAAUUGGCGGUCAUGGGGAGUGACAAUCUAAUGCUCAAGGCGUGCUGGGAUGUUGACUGGAGCUAUGAAAGACUCACCGAGUCAAGAUCCACCAGGUCGACUCCCAAAACACUAAACCUACAACCCCGAAACUGUCCAGAGUUCCAAAAAGUCCACCGAAAUACUUUCGAUUACCACAGAGUGUUUCGAAAGAUACCAUAGUACAAAUCUAGUCACCUGCUGUCCCGAAACGCGCCAACAUAGGUGUUCGGAUAGCAAACACAAGCCCAAGAAAUACAGAUACACCAUAAUGCACUUAAUGCCAUUUCGGAUUUUCGAAAUUGUUAUUUUUAGCGCUAGAACCCUCUAUCGCUCGCUCGUUGUCUUCGAAAACUCGAGACAGCGAGUGUAACCAGCCAAUGAGGCUCCACGACAAACCUGGGGUGAUAACACUACUAACAAGUGGACCCCCACAACGGUUAUCGCGUUCCACUUACAGUUUUGUCGAAAAAUGCUUCGGAAAUCAACUCUAAUUCCGCGAAGGCAUCGGGAGCUUGGACAACCAGUCUAGAGGGUCACAUCAAGUGGCCUCGCGCUGCCCAAACAACCUCCGCUAUCACAAUUAUAGAAAGGCCCCUAAACAAAAGAUAUAAAGCUAAAAUACACAUUAAAAAGGGCCGAUAGAGCACACCGUGCGUCUGCAAGACCAACCGAGGGCACCGGUGGAUAGGUCUUGACGAAGCAAAGCCCGUGCUCGUUAUCCCGGGCAAAAAAAAAAAGCUGAGGAAAGCUCUGAGGCCAAGAUUACUAUAAUUAACUAAAGGCUUCGGGAGCGACAAUGCAAAUACAGCAAGUCGCAGCUCCUUCAACAGAAAUCGAGAUAAGCAUAGUGAUCAGCGACGACUCUAGGUCACCAUGCUCACUUUCCAGAGAGUCGGGGAGUUCCCGGAUGACAGAUACAGUGAGUAGGGUAAAAACCACCUAAUUUCGAGCCAGCAGAGAGCAUCAAGCUCCGGCCUGCUGCCGGCAGCACAGCGGCAUGCGCAGCCGCGGGUAUGGAGGGGAAGGGGAGUGUGGUCCUCAUCUUGGCCGGCGACGGGGAGCAGCGGCGGCGGCGCUGGGAGGAGCUUGGUCUACCCAAGCUAGGGCUCAACCUAGGAUGCGUUUCCUAGUGACGACGGCGGCCGGGGAGGUAAGCAGCGGCAGUGGCGCGUCCCCAUGACCGGAGGGAGGCGGCGGCGCUGCUAAGGGCCGACGGCGGCGGCGGCGCUGUAAAGAGGUGGAGCCGCCACUGCCAGGGAUAGCCCCGAGAUGGCUAUAGAGCCUGCGGCGGCGCUCAGCGGUAACGGGGCUACCGGGGAAGGGGGGAGGAUCAGAGCCUUGUGCUGCCGAAGGUGAGGUCCGUAGGGUGCUGCUCCCCUUCUUAGGUAGCCCGAGCCGAAGGAAAAAAGGAGAGGGAGAGAAAAACUUGAGAGAGAGGGAAAGAGGGCUAUGGCCGUGGUUUGGUUGGUCGAAGGAGGAUCAUCUAUAGCAUACCGAACUCCUAAAGUUGUGAAAUUUUGGUGGGAACUAGCUUAAAAAGCUAUUAAAUAAGUUUCAGCGAAGUUUGGAGAGCAUUUGAGUGUUUUCGAAGCAAACUAGACUUGAAAACGGGCUCCAAAAGUUGAAAUUUGCAUAAGUUGCAGAAUUUGUACUGUGUACCGGUGAUGGAAACUGGGUACCAGUACUGGACUGGGCUGGUACCGGUGACGCGAGCGUGAGUACCGGUACGCAGCCUCCCAGAACGCUAUUUUGAAGAGUAAAAGUGUAAUUUCAGUUGGGGGCUUAUAUAAGGGGGCCCCCAGCCCCUUCCCUCUGCAGAAUGCACGCCCACACACAGGGAGAGACAGUGAGGGAGUGGGAGGAGCUCAUCUCUCUUCCAUUCUUCUUCUUCUUCUUCGACUCGGAGAUCGCGGUGGAGAUCGAGCUCGGGAACUCGUACGGAGCGGUGGUUCGAGCUCUCGGACGCUUGGUGGCUCGGUGUGCUUUCGACUCGAGCUUCAUAAAUGGGUUCAAAGGUUAGGGUUUGUCUGAAAUCCCUUGAAAUGAGGUUCUAAUGAACCCUAGAUGAUUCUAAACUAGGUUAAUCAUGGUUUCUCCAUGUGUUUUGGGUGUUUUGGAGAAAUAGAAAACCUAGGGUUAUGAAUUGGAGAUUUUAGGGUUGAGCUAGGGUUUUGGAUUUAAAUCUUCUAAAUAGAUUCUAGCAAACCCUAGGCUAAUCUGAACUACAAAUGGUAAAGAUUAGCAAGUGGAUUAGGGUUUUGCCAAGGUUUGGAAAACCCUAGGCUAAAAACAGGGGUUUCUUGGUGGAGGGUUCUAAAAAUAUUUUAACCCUUUGGAAACCUAAUUGGGGGUUAGGAAAUCAUAUGAGGCUCUUUGAUUUCAAGUAGAGAGAUCAUUUAGUGGUUCAAGAAUGGUAACGAAGGAUUUUUUGUAUAGGGCAAGGAGAGCUUGGGAGAAAGCUUGGAAGUCCAAGUAGUUGGCCUAAUUGCAAAUGACUACAAUGUCACGCCCUGGGACACAGCGGAAGCUCAUCCGGCACGUGUCCAGACCCGCCAUAUGUUUAAAACAUAUAAGGCGUCUAAACAAAAGCAGCAAGUAAAGGAACAGAAAGGAGACAUCUAGAGGUAUCUGAGCAGAAGUAAACUAGAUGCUGUAACGAAGAAAGUAAAACAGCUACAAUUCCACUAAAUAAAACAUGAAGUUAUACAACCAAAAGUCCAAAAGAACAGAGUAUAAAUACAUCACGGGUGGUCUCUAUACAUGGUACAAAACUCUCUCUCUCUCCCAACAAAACAAAAAGGGAGAAAAGACCACCUAGGAGCAAGCCCGCUCCGCUAUCGAUCCUACGCGACUCCCUUGCCGCGAUCCCGUGCCUCCGCCGGUGCCGAAGGCUCUGAAGAGUAAACCAAGAAACAGGGGCGUGAGAACUAUAAAAUAUAGUUCCCAGUGGGAAAUUACUGUCUUCAGUAUCAUGCUCCACUAGGCCCAAAGUCAAGAAAGGGGUAAGUACAGAUAUGUGUGAUAAGCAAUAAGUGCAAUAUAAAAGAACUACGAACAAUAAGUAAACAUGUAUGUUUCAUGAACUACAAUGCUACUACAUAGCAUAAUAUGCACAAGUAAGAAUGCUACUCUAGCAUGACCAUGAAUAAGCCCAAUAUACACUAUGUCCACAAUGAAACUAGUGAAGAUGUCGUCGUUUACUAGUUGUCCAAGUUCACUUUUCUUUUGAUUAUCAUGUUUCCAGAACUCAUAGGUCCUACGCGUGGGUAGUCCGGCUUCCGCCGUGCCUAAUGGCCCCGUGGUAGUCAACAUCCCCACUUUAGGAAUGAGCCUCCCCGACGGCAACCCACUUCGGCGCCCAAUCCCGCACGGGCGAGCAUAUGUCACAGUGGCUAUCUCUGGAGUGCCGGCUUGUAGGGUGCGACCCUCACAAGCGUGUGCGAAUGAGCACAAAUGGCAUGCAAGCGAACGAACAGGUCUCAAGUCUCAAGUCAUCAUGUCCUCAUAUCUAAAAUAUGGAAAGUGGCAAGUAACACCAUGGCCCAUCGCUAUGUCGUCGUGUCUAAAACACGGAAUAAUAGCCGAUGUCACAUGGCCUACACUAUGUCUCUAUGUUGCAGUUUCACUGUUUACUAAUUUGAGUGCCCCUUUAUGACACUUUUGUUCAAUAUGUCCAAGAGUGAUGUCCAAGUUCCCAAAUAUAUAAUUCUAGCUCAUUUAAUCAUAAGAGACGUAUUACUAUCUCACCAAGAGGGAGUACUACUCAUAUGCAUGCAUACAACACAUAUAGGCUCUACUAUAUAGAGUGAAAUUUCUUUUACACAUAAGGCAUGCAUUUUAGAUAUUCAAAAAUUCACAUAAAUUCUAUCUAGCAUGAAUAUGUACGGAUUUCAAUGAAAUGAUAACCAUAAGCCCAUAGGAGGCAUUUUCCUCCCGUUACUAGAAGACAAACCCACCGUUAGGUCCUAGGCUCUUCGUUUCGCCGAAUGAAGUUGCCCACAACUCUCCUAGCACCCUAAAGGUGUAAAAAGAAGAGUUAAACAACUAAACAAACCAUCUCAAAACUCAAACACUAACCUUUACAAGAAAAGGGCAAAACUCACCUUGUGUGGUGAAAUCCUCUCUUGAUCUCCCAAAGAGAGUGAAAACCCUUCUAAUCCAACCUAAACGAAGGUUCUAAACCCAUCAAUUGAGAUCAUAAAGGCUUAAAACAAAAAUCCCCAAAUAAAACCCUAAAACCCAAAAUCUAGGGUUUAAUCUCAAUAUACUCAACAAAACAUGAAUCAAAAGCAAGAAUCAUGUUACUAACCUCACAAGAAGUCCCAAACAAUGCUCAAAGUUCUCUAGGGUUGGAGUUCUCCUCACAACCAGCCAACCACCAAGAUCCAAGUCUUCUCCCAUGGUGCAAAAACCACCAAAAGCACAAAAGAGCAAGAAGAGAGGGAGAAAGAGAUCAAAAUCCCAUCACAAUCCAUCAAAAAUGGAAAGAAAACCAAGGGGAGGGAGCUCUCACCUGUUCUCCACGGUUUGGGGGGGUUCAAAAGAGCCCUAGAGGGGCUGGGUGGAGUUUUAUAGGUGUUGUAACAAUUACAAAAACACCCCUCCACGAAGCAGUCCAUUCUGCACUGCGUACCGGUACACGGGAUUGUGUACCGGUACACAUCCCACGAAAUGCCAAACCCGAGCCUCGGGUUGGCGCACAUGCUACCUGUGUACCGGUACACGGCCCAGCGUACCGGUACAACCAUCACCCCGUACCAGUACAGCCAUCAACCCUGUACCGGUACACAGCCUGCUAAAGGCUACCCGAGAGCACACUAAAAAUCCAACCUUUCGGACUUUGGUGUUAGGUUUUAAACUUCCAAUCUUGGGGCUCGAACCAUGGGUCGGAAUACGGUCAACGACCCUCCACGAAGUGUGGAAAAGCUCAGAACACAAACAAAUAAUUGAACCUUGCAAUUUGCAAAGGUCCAGUGCGUCACAUACAAGCAAUUAGGAAGCUUAAAAGGUGGGUUGUGCUUCACCGAAGUGACUAGGUCGCUUCCAUAUCAAAGUGGAGUAUGAUUUUCUUGUUGAUGCAUAUAUCACAUAGUGGUAGUUAAUUGCUAGAUGAAUGCAUGAAAUGGAUGUUAUAUGAAUGCAUGAGAUGCUAUGUAAAUGACUGCCAUUGGAUGAAAAUAUAUGCUAGUUGAUAAAUGCAUGUUGGCAUGGUAUAGAAUAUGCUAGAGGAUAUAAAUGAAUGUUGACAUUGCGAGAAUAUGCUAGAUGGUAUAUCAAUGUUAACAUUGUGAGCAUAUGCUAGAUGACAUUUGCAUGUUGACAUAUUGAGAAUAUAUGCUAGAUUAUAUAUGCAUAUGGACUUGGGUCGAUAACUCUAGGUGGAUUAGAGAACUCGACAGUUGGAAAACAAGAACGUGAAAACUAUAACACUCGAUGUGGACAACUAAGAUGUCAAGUAGAUCGAGCGGCAUGAACCUAGUGUUACUAAACAUAGGUUGGACAUGAACCUAGUGUUAUUAAACAUAGGUUGGACAUGAACCUAGUGUCAUUGAACAUAGGUUAGAAUUAUCAUUAAACCUAGUGUCAAAAUCUUGGUGGAAGUGACAUAAAACCUAGUGUGGCAUUGAACCUAGGUUAUGACAUGUAGCAACACCUAGCGUGGUUGAACCUAGGUUGUGGACAUAGUAGUAGAGUGACCACUAGGAUGUGCAUAUAGGGUGUGUGACUACCCUUGAGACUUGGAAAGUGGAUUCCGGAAUUCCAGGACUUGUGAACUCGAUAGUUCUUAGCUGCGGGUGCGUGUGGCAUAUUCCCCUCCCACCGGAAGAACUUCGAGGAUAGGAUACUGGAAGAUUCUUGGCCGCGAGUGCGUGUGGCAUAUUUCCCUCCCACCGGAAGAAUCUUGGAUCGCUAGGGUGCGUGUGGCAUAUUCCUCUCCCUAUCGGGGGUUUUGGGCCGCGGGUGCGUGUGGCAUAUUCCCCUCCUACCAGAAAGAUCCCUGACCAUGGGUGUACGCGGUUCUUCGCGACCCGUUGGGCGAUGUGAUUUGUGGACUUAGGGCCGAGGUGCAUGUGAGACGUCCUUCGCCUCGAGCCCCGCAGAGCGCGGUAUUCCGCAGUCGAUUGACUCGAGGCCGAAUCGGGUGGCUAGCUUGGUUAAGGUAGAUGAAACCUUAAGGGCUAGUGAUAAAUGGCUUGGAUCUAAGGUAGUAGAAACUUUAGAAGCUAGUUGGAUAUGAACCGGAUAGCGAGAUAGGAAGUAGUAUCGGAUGAUCUACUAGUUUGUGCAUUAGUUGCAUGGUUGCAUAAAUUACAUGUUGCAUUUGUGAGGCAUAAGCAUGGUAAAUGUUAGUUGCAUAAAUUAUAUGAUGUUAUAUCUAGCUAUUGGACUAACAUGUUUGGACCUGGCGGGUCGAGCUUUUCCCAUGGGUGGCCGUACCCACUGGGAACUAUGGACAUAGUUCUCACCCCACGUUGCUUUGGGGUUUUCAGGUUCACAUGUGAGCGGCGCGGCGGCGCGAGGAAAGGGCGUAGCUCCGUAGAUAGCGUCCUACCACCGAGACCAGAGAUAGCGGUACCCCAAGUCGGUCUAGCUUAGAGGUAUAGAAAUGAGAGAAACAAACUUGUAACAAAGUUGUAAUAAAUUUGUAAUAACUAGAUUGUAAUUUGGAAAUUGAAUGCGUAAGAUGUAAUAUGCAAGUGCAUGUAAGUUGAAUGCUUGUAAUAGCAUAGUGUUUAUGUUUUUGAAACUUCCUUAUGCAAUCUAUGCUUGAGUAUUGUUCCUGGUAGGAACCUCGCGUUUGUAUGGAUUGUGACGCCUAGGACGUACAGGGGAGACUCUGAGCCCACUAGCAACAAUAACUCGUUGGGCCCAAACACCAGCCCAAAAUGCUUAAGCCUAGUUAUUAUUACUAGUAUCUAAGUUUCUUUUAUACCCAAUCACAUCCCCAUUCCUAUCCGAUGUGGGAUUAUUGGGGUGUGACAGACUCCCCCCGUUAAGGCCUUGACGUCCUCGUCAGUCCAAUCACACACACAGCCCAAGAUCACCAGGUGAUGUGAGACUCGUCUUGCUAGCCUUGUCAUCCAGACCCUGGCAUAGCCGGUCAUCUUGUCAUACAGACUCCGGCAUAGCCUAUCACCUUGUCUUUCAGACUCUGGCUCAGCCGAGACUCGCCACACAUUUUCGGCUGGUGAUUGGCUCUGAUACCAAAUGUAACGACCAAGCCCACUAGCAACAAUAACUCGAUGGGCCCAAACACCGGCCCAAAAUGUUUAAGCCCAGUUAUUAUUACUAGUGUCUAAGUCUCUUAUAUACCCAAUCUGUCACGCCCCGGAACCGGCGGAGCCCUCCCGGUAGCACACACUAACCUGACUGCUCCUGCAGUCCCGGAAUUGCCCCCCUCAGACAGUAUGGGGUUAUUAGGUNUGCGAAAGUAAGGAAGUGUCCUUCACUACUAACUCCCGAUGUUACGUUGUCGGCCGCCAACGUAACCCUCCGCGAAGUUAGAAGCCAUACACUCCGAUCAAACUCUAACUUUUUAGAGUUGUCAUAACCCAAUCAUAAUACUUUCGCUCACGAGUUAAAUAGACCUCGUCUCUCACGGCCUAUUUCCUAUAGUCCAACCAGCCUAAGGUUCGCUAGGUCCACUAAGACUCAACUCUAGGCUCUGAUACCAAAUUAAUCUGUCACGCCCCGGGACCGGCGGAGGCCCUCCCGGUAGCGUGCCCAGACCCGCCAUAUGUCUACACAUAUAAGGCGUCUACAAGAAAAGCGGAAGUAAAAGCAAGAGAUGGAACAAAUGAAAGAAAUGAAGUAACAAGCAACUAAUGAUAUCAGAGCGAGUAAAGUUCUAACAUAUAUACUAAUAGUAAUAGAACAUAACUAAUACCUAAAAGUAGACAUAAGUUAUACAGUAUCAGCCUCUAAUACAAAAAUGGUGGUCUCUAGUACACGGGUAAAACUCUCAACCUCUCCAAAAUAAAAUACAACGAGAGGUAGACCACCUAGCAAGUCGUCCUCGUAGGAAGCUAGCUCGAAGCAACUCCCUUCCCGCGGUCCCUAGCCUCACCCUGAGUGGAAGGCUCUGAAAAACAUCGAGAAAAAGAGGGCGUGAGAACUAUAAUUUAUAGUUCCCAGUGGGCAAUUACUGACCUCAGCUCAUGCUCCACUAGGCCCCAAAAAUAAGGGUAAGCAACGAUAAUAAUAAUGAUAAGCAAUAAGGAGCAUGUAAAUAAACUGCUGAAAGAAAGCACAAUUGGAAUGCUAGUCUACCGUGUCUCAAGUAAACAUGAUGUCAACCAAAAUGUACAUCUAUUCUAUCAUUACAAUUAAGUCCCAUUGGCACUAGUUUAAUGUUGUUAACCUUUGUCAAUACAUGAUGUAGGAGUUCUAUCAUGGCAACCAAGUAUACUACAUGUCUCACACUAUGCUAAAAGCAUGUAAUGUAAUCCAACUACUAAGUCUAUCUAGUAGUGGUCAUUCAUUCUCAACACUGUGUCGAUUUCCGUUUCCAAUUAAGAACCCACCCAAGGUAGUCCAACUUGUGCCGCCUAAGUGCCUGUGGUAGCCCGACAUUCCUACUCUUGGAAUGUGUCUGUCCCACUCGACCCCGUAGGCUUCUCAAUACCGCACGAGCGAACAAUAGUCGCAUAGGCCAACUCCGGAGUGCCGGCUUGUAGGGAGCGACCCUCACAAGCAUGUGCGAAUGAGCACAAAUGGCAAACAAGCAAGGUCAAAGUCUCAAGUACUCAAUCCUCAUGUCUCUAACAUGGUAUGGUCACUAGCAUCCCGACGAUCUAGUUCAAAGUCAUAAUGUGAGGUCCCAACACACACUUGCUUAGUGCCUCUUUAUGACACUUAAGCUCCACAACUAAUCAUGUUCCAAAUAGGACAUUAACAUUAAUGCUCACUAAGCCCCGGGCCCCAAUGCCUCUUCAUGACAUUGGCCCAAUCUCACAUAUCCUCUAAGUCUCUAAGCCUCUCUAGGCUUCCAAAAAUUCCUAAUGUCAUAACUGGUAUAUAGUUUGAAUGCAUGAAAGCAAGGUUCGUUUUCAUAAUAGGGAUUGUAAUUUUCAAGUCUCAUCUAGAAUGCUAGGCCACCCAUACAUGCUCUCUACUAUAUAGAGGUCCCAAAAUUUACUACACAUAACCUAUGCAUGUUAAGCAUUCUAAAAUUCAUAUUAAAUACAUUUAACAUGGAAAUGCAUGAAUUUCUAUUUUACGAAACAUAUUUGUCAAAUAUGAGCGUUUUUCAUAUUGUAUGCUAGGCCAAACCCACCGAACCGUCGCGUAGGGUCUCGAUUCGCCGAACAAGGUUGUCCACGAGUCUCUAGAUACCCUAAAAGUGAUCAGCGAAGAGAUACGAGAGUAUUACGACCAUCCGAGAGAUCAAACAUUAACCUAGGAGCAAAAAUGGCCAAAAUUUACCUCAAGAGUAGAAAUCUUCCCCAAAGCUCCAAAAGAGAGCUAGAACCCUUCCAACCCAAGCCCUAGGAAGGUUCUAAUCCAAUCAAUUUGGGUCCGAAAGCCCUAGAUCAAAAAUGCCCAAAAAUAAACCCUAAACAUCAAAUCUAGGGUUUCAUCUCAAAAACCUAGCAAAACAAGAUCUAGAGGAGAGGAAAUGAGCAACCAACCUCCUUAGAAGCUCCAAUCCUAGCUCCAAGGGUGAAGAUCUCCUCCUAUGCAAGCUCCAAGACCAAGCACCAAGGAAGAAGAGAGGGUGAGGAAGAUGCUCCAAGUCCUCUAAAAGCUCUCAAUCUUCUUCUCCUUCCUUCCUUCUUCUCCUUCUCCUUCUUCUUCUUCUCUAUCAAAGGUGUGGAGAGAGUUGGGAGGAGAGAAAUAAGAAGUAGAGAGGGUGGAGGGGUCAUAUAGACCCUCUAUUACAACAAAAUCCAGCUAGGCCCUCCAAAAAUCCAAAAUUGUAUCAGCCCGAACUGGGCAGUUUUCGCCCAGAGGGACCGGUCUCUCCCCAGCAGGGACCGGUCUCUCGCUGCGAACCCGAAAAAACCAGCGUUCGGGAACCGGUCUCUCCCGGCGCGGGACCGGUCUCUCACUGCGAGGGCGCGUUCGGGAACCGGUCUCGCCUGCCAGGGACCGGUUGCCUCAGGCCGCCUCAACACUGCUCACUGAGGGGACCGGUCUCUCCUUCCAGGGACCGGUCCCCGAGAGUGAAAACUCUCAGAACUUGUCCAGAAUUCCAGUUUUCGAACUUUUUAGGUCGGAAAACAUUCUACGACCCUCCACCAAGUGUGGAAAAGCUCGAAACACAUCGAAACACUCGAACCUCGUAAUUUGCAAAGGUCCAGUGUGUUACACAAUCAUAUCCCCAUUUCUAUCCGAUGUGGGAUUAUUGGGGUGUGACAGAACCCGACCAAAUAGACGGGGCGCGGGGCGUGACAUCAUCGGUGGCCAGGGAAGUGCGCGACGCUGUUAAAGAAGGAUGGGGAGGCGGCUAGGGCUCAGGAGAGCAGAGAGGAGGCUAGGGCUAGGAUUAGGAGAUGAAAACUCUAGAUGCCCUGUUAUAUACAUAAAUGUAUAAUUGUAGGGAAACCCCCGAAAAUCCAAAAUUUCAACUGGGGUCCUUCAUGGCACGUGCAAAAUGAGCUAAUGCACCUCCACAAGCGUUGUCACAUGAAACGAUGCAUAAAAAAUUAGAUUUUUCAUGAAAAAACCCAAUAUGCAAUCUCAACCCUUCCUCGAAUAACGUGCGAUUCUAGACGAUCAAUUCAUCGAAUUUACGAACGGAUCGUGUCGGUACUUCCGCUACUGCCAGACCAUCAAGCCUACGAUUUUGUUUCGCACGAAUCGGUCGUCGAUUCGCCACGAAACCAAUCACUCUCUACCUCCAUAUAUAUAUAUAUAUAUAUAUGUACAUAUAUAUAUAUAUAUAUGUACAUAUAUAUAUAUGUAUAUGUACAUAUAUAUAUAUGUAUAUGUACAUACAUAUAUAUGUAUAUAUAUAUACAUAUAUAUGUAUAUAUACAUAUAUAUAUAUGUAUACAUAUAUGUAUAUAUAUAUGUAUAUAUAUAUAUACAUAUAUGUAUACAUAUAUGUAUACAAAUAUAUAUGUAUACAUAUACAUAUAUGUAUACAUAUAUGUAUACAUAUAUGUAUAUAUACAUAUAUAUAUAUACAUAUAUGUAUACAUAUAUGUAUGUAUACAUAUAUAUAUAUAUGUAUACAUAUAUGUAUGUAUAUAUGUAUACAUACAUAUAUACAUAUAUAUAUAUAGAGUUGAGCUAGAAUACUCUCGAUAGUAAACGAGGCGUUUUACUAUCGAGUUGUUUUCGAUGAUAGAGCUUCCAAAUUGACGAUCGGCUCCGUUGAACAUGAUCUAUANCCCCCCCCCCCCCCCCUCUCUCUCUCUCUCUCUCUCUCUCUCUCUCUCUCUCUCCUCACACAUGCUUCAUGUCUCCCCUGCUGUAAGCAGCUUUCCCUCACUGAAAAGCUACUAACCAACAACCCCUUUGGGAGAGAGAUUGGGGUGAUGAAAUGCUUGAGGAAUCAAAGUAGGGAGGGAUCCAGCAGCUUUAUUUUCCUCCCCUUUAUUUGUGAUGUGAUGAUUUCAUGGUGGUGGUGUAGUAGUAAUCACAAUCACAUUAACCUUUUUCUUUUGUAACCAUGUUAUGUACAAAUUGGAUAUCUCAAAUCUUGAGGAAUAGAUCAAUCAUGGGCUACUAGGGCUGUCGAUGGACCCCGUUAGCCGAUCGAUUUGAAUCUGACCCAAAUCGUACGAUAAUUUGAUUUAUCCUGAUAUGAGUUUGAUAUUUCGACGAUCGAAAGCGAUAUAUGUGCAUAUUUAUUGCAUAUUGUUCUACAUAAUUAUGAAUAAUUAUUAAGUGCUUGAGCAUUUCAUCAAUCUUAAGAAAGAAUGGUAUGAUCAUAUUAUUGCCUUAGAUUAUCCCUUCCUACUAAUGAACACAGGAGAUUGAUGUGAUCGAGCAAGUAGUCUACUCAAGCAUUCAAUUUUCAAGUACAUACCUAUCUUGACAAAAACAGUUGCAAAAUCAUGUAACAAAUGAAUGAGUGUUUAUUAGAUUAGUACACCAUCUCUUUAUCAAGAAUAGAAAGUUCAAUCAACUCCCUCGCAUACUGUUGCAGACAUAUAUAUAUAUAUAUAUAUAUAUAUAUAUAUAUAUAUAUAUAUAGUUGAGCUGUAAUGCUAUCGGUAGUAAACGGGCUCUAUUACCACCCAUUUGUUUUCGAUGAUGGAGCCUUCAAAUCAACGAUUGACACAGUUGAGCAUGAUCUAUACCACUUGAAGUAUCUAGAAAACAAAUUUCAAAUCUUUUCGACAUCAUUAACCUAAUGAUCAAAGGAUUUCAAAAUUUGUAAUUUUAAUGGUAGAUAUGAGGCAUUUUCUUGUUUAACGGUGUAAAGCUAUCCAAAUCAAUUGAAUUUUGGUUAGAAAAUUCUUUAAACUAUUUAGAACAAGAUCUAUACUCUCGAUCUUGAUUAUAAAAUUCUUAUCAUCACUUUUUAGAGGAUAUUCAUUUUCAGCCAUUCAUUUUUUACGCCUACUUGAUGGACAAGAGAACAAUAUCGGAAAAGAAUGAAAUUUGAUUUCUAGAUACUUCAAGUGGUAUAGAUUAUUUUCAACGGUGCUAAUCAUCAAUUUGGAGGCUCCAUCAUCGAAAGCAAAUGGGUGGCAACGGAGCCCAUUUGCUACUGAUAGUAUUCCAGCUCAACUCUCUCUCUCUCUCUCUCUCUCUCUCUCUCUCUCUCUCUCUCUUUCUCUAUAUAUAUAUAUAUAUAUAUAUAUAUAUGAAAUAAAAUUCAAAUUCAAAUGCAAAUUCAAAUUUCAAAGUCUCAGGUAUUACAAUAACCCUAUAAAAUUUUCUAAUUGGGUAAAUAACCCUAUAAAAUUUUUUUUGACAAACUAACCCUUCUUUUACCAUGUAGGAGUCACGUUAGAAUUUUCUUUUAAAGGCGGUGAACAACUCACCGCCUUCAUAAAGAUGGUGAACGAUUUACCGCCUUCCUAAUUUUCCACAAAAGCGGUGAAUCAUUCACUGUCUUUCGCUUAUUUACUGUUUCUUUCUAUAUCCCAUAUAUAAUCAUAACCACCACAUAAAAUUUUCAACAAAUCACAUAUAAUCUUAACAACCUAAAAAUUCUAAUAAUCAAUCUAUACAAUUCCAUAUAAUCUUAACAACCUGAAAAUCCUAAUAAUAUAUUCAUACAAUCCUACCUAUCAAAUAAUCCUAACCACUACCUUCCUAAUUUUUCACAAAAGCGAUGAAUCAUUCACCAUCUUCGCUUAUUUACUAUUUCUUUCUAUAUUCCAUAUAUAAUUCUAACCACCACAUAAAAAUUUCAACAAAUUUUAUAUAAUCUUAACAACCUAAAAAUCCUAAUAAUCUAUCUGUACAAUUCCAUAUAAUCUUAACAACCUGAAAGUCCUAACAAUCUUUUCAUAUAAUUCUAAGGCCAAUUUGCAUAAAAAAUUCACAAGUUUUGGGCUUUUGCAAAACUAGGUCACAUUUUUCAAUUUUGCAGAUUCGGGCCAAAUUUUUCGCCAUCGGACGAAAAUACCCUUAUUCCUUUUCUUUCUUUCUCUUCUUUUUUCUCUCUUCUUUUUUUUUCCUUUGUUAUUUUUUUUGUCGAGGACGUGCUCCAGAUCGCCCUCCCCAUUGCGGACGAGUUCCACUACCUCCUCCUUCGCGGUGCCCUCCCCAUCGCCUCCUCCUCCUCCUCCACCGUCUUCGCGGCCCUCAGCGAU